rnacentral:tRNA from 1 species
GCCGGAUAUAGGCUAGAGCAGAAAAGCUACCUGCUGUUUCAUUAACAGCAGGUCGCCGGUUCAAGUCCGGCUGUCGGCUCCA